UGGGCAGCACAGGUAGCAAUACUGGGUGGCGACCGGCAAACGGGCGCGGAACUNGUACGCAACCUUUCUCUAAGUGGGGAAUAGCCCGAAGAAAUUCGGAUUAAUACCCCGUAAUAUUGUUGGAUGGCAUCAUCUGGCAAUUAAAGAACUUCGCUUGGAGAUGGGCGUGCGUCUGAUUAGGUAGUUGGUGAGGUAACGGCUCACCAAGCCGACGAUCAGUAACUGGCGUGAGAGCGCGACCAGUCACACGGGCACUNAGACACGGGCCCGACUCCUACGGGAGGCAGCAGUAAGGAAUAUUGGUCAAUGGACGCAAGUCUGAACCAGCCWUKCCGCGUGAAGNGAUGAAGGUCCUCUGGNAUUGUAAACUUCUUUUAUCUGGGAAUAAACCACUGUUUAUCUAAAGGUGUUGACGGUACCAGAGGAAUAAGCACCGGCUAACUCCGUGCCAGCAGCCGCGGUAAUACGGAGGGUGCAAGCGUUAUCCGGAUUCACUGGGUUUAAAGGGUGCGUAGGCGGAUUUGUAAGUCCGUGGGUGAAAUCUCCAGGCUUAACCUGGAAACUGCCGUGGAUACUAUAAAUCUUGAAUGUUNUGGAGGUUAGCGGAAUAUGUCAUGUAGCGGUGAAAUGCAUAGAUAUGACAUAGAACACCAAUUGC
rnacentral:rRNA from 1 species